GUGGGGAAUAUUGGGCAAUGGGCGAAAGCCUGAUCCAGCCAUGCCGCGUGUGUGAAGAAGGUCUUCGGAUUGUAAAGCACUUUAAGUUGGGAGGAAGGGCAGUAAGUUAAUACCUUGCUGUUUUGACGUUACCGACAGAAUAAGCACCGGCUAACUUCGUGCCAGCAGCCGCGGUAAUACGAAGGGUGCAAGCGUUAAUCGGAAUUACUGGGCGUAAAGCGCGCGUAGGUGGUUUUGUAAGUUGGAGGUGAAAUCCCCGGGCUCAACCUGGGAACUGCCUCCAAAACUGCAUGACUAGAGUACGGUAGAGGGUAGUGGAAUUUCCUGUGUAGCGGUGAAAUGCGUAGAUAUAGGAAGGAACACCAGUGGCGAAGGCGACUACCUGGACUGAUACUGACACUGAGGUGCGAAAGCGUGGGGAGCAAACAGGAUUAGAAACCCGGGUAGUCC
rnacentral:rRNA from 1 species